CGAAGAUACACGAAGAACCUUACCUGGCCUUGACAUGGUAGGAACCUUAAGAGAUUAGGGGUGCUAGCUUGCUAGAACCUACACACAGGUGCUGCACGGCUGUCGUCAGCUCGUGUCGUGAGAUGUUGGGUUAAGUCCCGCAACGAGCGCAACCCUCGUCCUUAGUUGCUAACAGUUCGGCUGAGCACUCUAGGGAGACUGCCUUCGCAAGGAGGAGGAAGGUGAGGACGACGUCAAGUCAUCAUGGCCCUUACGGCCAGGGCUACACACGUGCUACAAUGGGGCGUACAGAGAGCUGCGAUACCGCGAGGUGGAGCCAAUCUCUUAAAGCGUCUCUCAGUUCGGAUUGUUCUCUGCAACUCGAGAACAUGAAGCUGGAAUCACUAGUAAUCGCAGAUCAGCUAUGCUGCGGUGAAUACGUUCCCGGGUCUU
rnacentral:rRNA from 1 species